GCCUGUAGUCCCAGCUACUCGGGAGGCUGAGGUGGAAGAAUGGCAUGAACCUGGGAGGUGGAGCUUGCAGUGAGCCAAGAUCGUGCCACUGCACUCCAGCCUGGAUGACAGAGCGAGACUCCGUCUCAAAAAAAGAAAAAAUUAAUAGUAUCAUAACUAUAUCCCACAUCUUUAUGAAAUAAGCUGGUUUCCCUCAGAGCCACCAGUGCUGCUGUGUCAUAAAAUCUGAUAGAUACUGCCCUUAUCAUUAUUUCUGAAAACACCACAAACUUAUUUCAGUUAUACAAUCUAUGUGACUUGUGUUUUUAUCUCAAGGGUAAUCUCCCUUACUUAAAAUCUGACACAUUUUUAAUUAAUUUAUUUGUUUCUACAUUCAUUCAAAACAUACCAAGAUUUUUAUAUUGCCAGGUUCUUUAUAAAUGCUGCAAAUAUGACAUGAAUAGAGUAAAGAGGUCCUUUGCCUCAUGAGAUGAUAAAUCUAUUUUCUAGAAAUGACAAAUUUUUAACAAGUAAUUCUAUGUGUGAUAAAUGCAAUAACCAAGAGUGCUCUAAGUGCUUUGCAAGCAAAAGUUAAGAAGUCAAAUUUGGUCUUGAAUUUUAUAUUGAGGAUAUUUAUUCCUAUUUAAUUAGAUAAGGAACACUGAAGAAAGAAGAGGUUGCCUUAAAGAUAGCAGUCAGGAUUGGCUACCUAAGAGGGCCAGUAGAAGAUAAAAAUCAGAGCUCCUUAUACAAAAAUUAUUAUGAAUUUUAAGACUGCAAUAGCAGAUCAUUAAACCAAGUGUGUGAUCCCCAAAACGUGAGGUCCUGUGCGACUGCACAUGUCACAUGCCAUGAAGUCAGCCCUCACGCCUAUGAAGCAUCCAGGAAUAUAUGUCAAGCAGGCAGUAGAGUAUACCAGUCUGGAGCUCAAGAGAAAUAUUUUGUUAUAGACAUUUGCAAGUUGUGACAGAUUAAAGAUAGCCAUAAAUUGUCACUCUAAAAAAUCAAGAAAUGGAGUUUAUUUAUCUUCCUCCUUGAAUGUUAGCUGGCCCUAUGAUGGUUUAAUCAAUACAGUGAUGUAAAAGUGAUGUUGUGGUAGUUCUAGGCCCAGCCUUUAAAAGCACUGCUGCUUCUCUCUUGAAAUGCUCACACUUGGGACACUUUCCUCCAGAACCCAGAGGCUAAAUGGAUGUUCACUUUUAGAUGACAGCCCCAGCUGUCCCAGCGAAUAGGCAGCAUCAAGUAUCAGCCAUUUGAGUGAACCAUUUAGAUGUUCCAGUGCAAUUGAGCAGAAGAACCACCCAGCUGAACCUAGUCAAUCCACAGAACCAUGAGAGAUAAUGAAAUGGUUGUUGUUUUAGGCCAUGAAUUUUGCAGUAAUACACAGCAAUAAUAACCAAAACAGAAAUUAGUGAGGUGCUGAAACAACAAAAAGCUAAAACAUUUGGCAUUGGCUUUGGACCUAGAAAGCAGAUAGAAGGUAGUCCAAAGCAGACUGCUAGUGAAAAAUGGAAUGAUAGGGAGAAAAAUGUUUUUGAUGCUGGAAAGGAGGAAGAGGGCUUAUGUUUUUUGUGGACACAAAAAACAGAAAAUAAAGCAAAUGAAAAUUUUUUUUAUUUUAUUGAGCAGCAGAAUAGUGAAAGUGCCAACUGUUUUUCCUGAAUAAAAUAAGGUAUAUGUAGAGAGAGGAACUUAAAAAAAUAGCUUUCAAACAGGAUCUAGAGGGAGUAUUUCUUAACCAAGACUUGUUGGGAAUUUUUCUUAUUCCCAGUCUCCCUCAACAAAAGUCUCUCAAAGUAAGAAAUUACUUUAGGACAAAGAUCAAAUCCAAGGCACUGUCAGUAAAUGUGCAGUUUCAAAGUCAAGAUCUCAGAUAUGUGGCUAUAAGAACUUUUUGUUAAAAACUCAGAAGGAUUUGACAUUUGUAAAAAACUCAGGUGUGCCUCUUUGAAACUUUCUUCUAGACAAUGAGGCUUCUAUAACUCUCUGUUCAAAGUAGGGAAAGGCCUUUUAUAAAGAAACUUUGGUGUCGCUUUUGUCCAGGAAAAUGGCUUAUAUUUUUAUACUCAGGAAAACCACAAAGUAUCUAUAGGAAGUGUACCAAUUUGUACUAAACAAACAAAGAAAAACAGUGACAGUUCAAAAAUUAAGAGAUCUUUGAGACACUCAAUUUUCAACAAAAAGAACACAGCCUGAGAAAGUCACUCAGCUACACAUGUGGGCUGUUUCUUAGGGAAAAGAGAGACAUAUGGAAGAGCCAGAAGCCCAGAGGAAAAAGCUAAGAGGCAGAGAGAAUCAACCCAAGAAAGCUGGAGGAAACCCUAACCAAGGAACCCACAUCUGCUCACCUAAAUUUCAGGAUGUUUAUGAACCAGUGGCUGCUAUUUGCCACUGUACUUUUGGAAUGCGUGUCUAUCAAAUUCUAUUGUCCUUGUCUCACUAUUACAUACUGAGUUUGUGGGGGCCAGAUAACUUGUUUUCUAGUUCAUAGCUCUUCAUCUCAAGAGUAGCCUGAGGUGCCUUAUUCACACCUGGAUCUGAUUUAGAUAAUGGAAUGCUGAACAUUGAACCUAAUUCAGUCACAAAUUGAGACUUUGAGGGUCAUGGGGAAUGGUCAGGGUAUUUUGCAUGUAGAAUGAAUUUAAAUAAUUUAUGACUGAGGGAUCACUGUUGUGGGCUAAAAAUGACCAAACACGUUUUAUUACUCUUUCCAUCAACAUGUGGCAUUUAUUUUCAUUCCCUCUUGAAUCUGGGUUGGCCCUGUGACAGCUUAAAUAGAAUGUGGUGGAAGUGAUGAUAUACCAGUUACAGACACACUUUUUAAGAGGAUUGCAGCAUCCAGGUCCCCCUCUAAGGUUUCUCAUUCUUGGAACAAUUCUUGGAACUCACCCAUCAUACUGUGAGAAACCCAAGCCACAUGUAUAGGACACAUGUUGAUGAUCCAAUUGACAGUCUCAAGCGAACUCUUUGCCAAUAACCAGCAUCAAAUGCUGCCAGGUAAAUGGGAAAUCUUGGCUGUCCCAGCACAAUUGAGCCCAUAGAUGAUGCAGCCAAAUCCAAUUUAUAAGAAACAAGCAACCCCAUUUAGUCCAGUCAACACUAAAAAUAGCGUGAAAUAAUGAAAUAGUUAAGCCAGUAACUUUUGGAGUGGUUUGUUAUAAAAUAAUAGAUAAUUAAAAUAGGAGUCAGCUGUGUAUAGAGGUUAAUGAAGCCAUGAGAUGGUUAAGACAAUCAAUAUGUGACAUGAAAGAAAAAAGGCUAUCUUAGUCUGUUUUCUGUUACCUGAAUUCCAUAAACUGAGUAAUUUAUAAAGAAAAUAAAUGUAUUUAUUUCUUACAGUUCUAGAGGCUGAUAAGUCCAAGCAUAUGGUGCCAGCAUCUGGUGAGGCCUUCUUGCUGUGUAAUCUCAUGGCAGAAGAGUGGAAGGACAAGUGAGCACAUGCAAAAGGGAUUGUACAAGGUGCUGAGCUGGCUUUAUUACAACUUGCUCUUGAGAUAACUACCAACUCUGAUGAUAGGACCUUAAUCUAUUCAUAAGGGUGCUGCCUAUGAUUUGAUUACCUCUUAAAGGCCCCACAUCUUAAUACUUUUACAAUGGCAAUUAAAUGUCAACAUGAGUUUCAGUGGAGACAAACAUUCAAACCAUAGCAAAGGCUUAGAAUAGAAUCCUAGGAAUUCCAAAAUUGCCAGACAGAGAAAAAGAUGACAGCUACAGAAUCUGUGAAAUAUGUUCAUCAAAGUAAAAAGAAAUCCAGACAGUCAGUGACCUGUGAGCCAAUGGAAGAGAGAGACCACACAGGUGAGUGCCAAUGAGAGAUCAAAUGAGAUAUAGGUCAUAGUUACUUGUUCUAUUAAAUGACAUAGAAGAUAAAGGUGGCCUUAGCAAAAAUAGAAUUUCAAACUGUUAGGGAGGAAGCCAGACUGGAAUUAGAGAGGUAGCUGAAGAAUGACAGGGAAUGAGUAGAGAGGAACAGAGAGUAUAGGUUCUUUUGAAGAGCCAGGAAAGUUGGCAUGAAGAAGCUCAAUAUCUCUUUCUGUCUCUCAUUCUCACUCUGUGUGUGUAUGUGUGUGUGUGUGUGUGUGUGGUGGGGAGAAGGAAUAAGAGACAGAAAUCUUGAAACAUUAAAAUUAUCAUUAAAUGAUGGUGAGAAGGAAAGAAAUAUAAAAGUUAUGGUAAGAGAAAAAUAUGAGUAAUAUUUAACUCUUUCCAGAAAGGAUCCUCAAACCAAAGAACAUCCAUUUAGGCACUAUGGCUAGUGUUCAAACACACAAUAACCUCAAAAUAACACUUGCUGUCAAGCAGAAUUUGUAAAACUGAGCUGAAUAAUCAUGGAUUCAAAGGAAUUUAUUUCCUGACAUAUCAAAAUGGCCUUGUUUAAAUCAUGUAAUCGAGUCUAUAAUAAAAAUUUAAUCUUAAGGUUUUAUAGCUCAAAAAAAUCUGUAUUUUAAAUUUUUAGGCAGUUUCUUCUAAGGUGAACAAUGGUAUUUACCUUUUGGGUAGAACAUGACUUAUUUUUGGAAGUAUUGCUUGAGUAAUAUUAAGAAUUAGGAAAUAUCUACUUGCUGAUAUGAGAGUAUACAAAAAUGUUUGCUUGACAAGCUUCCGAGGGCUCUGUAAGAUUGUGGUGAUAUCAGAUAAUGCCCUUCCCAAAUGUGUCUGCUCAUCAAUGAAUUUACACACAUGCAUAACAGCUUCCUGGGAGCAGAAUGGCUUGUACCUGGUUCUGUCUCUGAGUGUUUCAAAGAUAUGGAAGCAUGUUUGAUGAAAGAUCAUGGAAUAGCAAAGAAAAAUAGCACCAAAAAGGCAAACAAGGCAGGGAAAGAUUCUAGACUAGUGAUUUGGGAUCAACACAGGACAGGAUGAUUAGAGAGAAUAGCUUCCUGUGCACACUAUGUAGUUUGAUGCAGAAGCCAUCCUGAUCCAGAUGCCCUGGUACUGUGGGGCGGGACCUUGGAAAAAUUACCCAGAGGAUGUGAAGUGAAAGUUUUGUUACACCAUUCUUCAGAGUGAAGGCAGUUUUCCUACAGAAACCUUCAAAAAAGGAGAUGCAUCCUUCCUUGUUCCUGGCAGUCUUGCAUUUGAGGAAAUCAGUAUGCUCCAACUUAGGUGAGUUAGGCCACUGGCCAAUUUUUUUUUUUUUCUGUAGCCCUCCUCUACUCUGAGUUCCUAAUUCCACUUGUUCUGAAUUUUUUUUGGUGACGCAUUGUCUCCAUUAUUGAACUUAGUCCUUUCAAAAAUUAGCAAAGCUGGGAAUUUUCAUCCUAUUCUUUUCCUACUUUCAGAACUUUGAACUUUGAAUUUUCAGGAAGCCAUGAAGAAUGGAGUAAGAUUCUAGGACCAGUUAACAAGAACAUGUAAAAUAAUUUGUUUGUAAAAUAAUCUUAUGAGGCUAAAGCACAAGCCAGAGCAGAUUUUUUUCAAAAUGCAUAAGCAACACUUGUUCAAUUCCACCUGCUGCAGUUAAAGAAAAACUUAUCUUUUAGUCUCCAGAGGCAGAAAAAAAGCAGAAAAGGUUGUUGAAAUUCUUCACAUUGAUUUCAGGGCAAUGAUCUCAAACGGCGCAGUGGGAACCCGCAAAUUUAAGAGGGUAGUUUCCCUGCACAAGCCCUUUUUUUGCCUGCUGCCAUCCGUGUAAGAUGUGACUUGCUCCUCCUUGUCUUCUACCAUGAUUGUGAGGCCUCCCCAGUUAUGUGGAACUCAAAGCUAGAGGAAACCAAAGUCAUAGAACAUCUGAACUCUGUCCAAACAUCGGUCGUAUUUCAAAAUUUCAGAGCCUCAGACUUCCAUGAUAAUAUCUGCCUAGUCUUUAGAAGAGUGUAUGGAAGUGUUCAAGAACCUUUCCUGAAACAACUUCUAUUACAGACACUGCUUCUUCAUGGUUAUUCCAUCAGAUUGCAAUCACUUAUAUGUUUUUUUCCACUCUUCCUUAUAUUAUGAGCACUUUUCACGUAGGGGUUCAUCUCUUUAAUAAUCAUAGCUCCCAACACAAUUGUAGGCUUAUAUUAGAUGCUCGAUAAAGAUGAGUUGAGUUAACAUGUAAAGUAAUGAAUGAGUAAGGAAAAAUAGAAUAGUUUCGAAUUAAUGCAUGUUACUGCUACUGUAAAUUUAAUGUUUUCAUUUCUAUUACUAUUUAUAUAUAAAUUUAAUUAAUUGUUAACUUUCUUUGCCAUCCAUACAUCUAUUUAUCUGCUCAUUUGAAAAUCUCUUUCCUGUUUCCUAUUAUUCAAAAUAUUAAAAGCAAAUAUUACUUAAAUAUUUAAAUCACUCUUUUUCCAUGUUAAGUUUCUCAGGAUGCAGAAUGUUGCUGUACACUGAGAAAUAUUAGGCGAUACAAAAUGGCUACUAUAACGUAAUGUUCUAGAAAAUGAUAAAAGUCAAACCCAUUGGUUUUUGCUGCCAACACAAGUUUGUCAAUGUAAUUAAUGCCCUUUAGCCUGGGAGGGUUGUAUGACAGGAAAAAUGGCAUCAAAGCCAUUUUUAUUUAAAAAAUAAAUUUAAUAUUACUUGAUAAUAAGGGAGCUAUAUAAGCAAAAAUCUUAGAAUUUUCUUUUUCUUUUUUUUCCUUAGUUUCACAUCUUUCUACAUAGUAUCCAAAUCCCAGUUGUUGAUACUAAUUUUCUUGCCUUCUUACCCUUAACAAGUUUGGAGACAAAGUUAAUAUCAUUAGUAGUAUGUAAACUAAUUCCUAAAGCAAAAGUCUCUAAAAGUGUGAUCCAUGUCCCAUUUUUUAUUGGUCUGCAAUGAGGUAAGCACAGAAAUUUUAAUCACCUCCACGCAUACCUUCAAUGAGCAACAUGUACAGUUUUUUGAGACUCUUCUCUCUUUUCCUGUUAUUUUCUGAUUGCAUUUAUAAAAAUGCAAUUUUGUGUUUGUUGAAUCUGAUGAUAAAAAAUGAGGAAACACCGCAUAUUCUCACUCAUAGGUGGGAAUUGAACAAUGAGAUCACAUGGACA
rnacentral:lncRNA from 1 species